rnacentral:rRNA from 1 species
GAUGAACGCUGGCGGCGUGCCUAAUACAUGCAAGUCGAGCGAACGGACGAGAAGCUUGCUUCUCUGAUGUUAGCGGCGGACGGGUGAGUAACACGUGGAUAACCUACCUAUAAGACUGGGAUAACUUCGGGAAACCGUAGCUAAUACCGGAUAAUAUUUUGAACCGCAUGGUUCAAAAGUGAAAGACGGUCUUGCUGUCACUUAUACAUGGAUCCGCGCUGCAUUAGCUAGUUGGUACGGUAACGGCUUACCAAGGCAACGAUGCAUAGCCGACCUGAGAGGGUGAUCGGCCACACUGGAACUGAGACACGGUCCAGACUCCUACGGGAGGCAGCAGUAGGGAAUCUUCCGCAAUGGGCGAAAGCCUGACGGAGCAACGCCGCGUGAGUGAUGAAGGUCUUCGGAUCGUAAAACUCUGUUAUUAGGGAAGAACAUAUGUGUAAGUAACUGUGCACAUCUUGACGGUACCUAAUCAGAAAGCCACGGCUAACUACGUG